rnacentral:rRNA from 1 species
UACGUAGGGUGCGAGCGUUGUCCGGAAUUAUUGGGCGUAAAGAGCUCGUAGGCGGCUUGUCACGUCGGAUGUGAAAGCCCGGGGCUUAACCCCGGGUCUGCAUUCGAUACGGGCAGGCUAGAGUUCGGUAGGGGAGAUCGGAAUUCCUGGUGUAGCGGUGAAAUGCGCAGAUAUCAGGAGGAACACCGGUGGCGAAGGCGGGUCUCUGGGCAGUAACUGACGCUGAGGAGCGAAAGCGUGGGGAGCGAACAGG